UGCAGUCGAACGAAGCACUUUAUUUGAUUUCCUUCGGGACUGAUUAUUUUGUGACUGAGUGGCGGACGGGUGAGUAACGCGUGGGUAACCUGCCUUGUACAGGGGGAUAACAGUUGGAAACGGCUGCUAAUACCGCAUAAGCGCACAGCAUCGCAUGAUGCAGUGUGAAAAACUCUGGUGGUAUAAGAUGGACCCGCGUUGGAUUAGCUAGUUGGUGAGGUAACGGCCCACCAAGGCGACGAUCCAUAGCCGACCUGAGAGGGUGACCGGCCACAUUGGGACUGAGACACGGCCCAAACUCCUACGGGAGGCAGCAGUGGGGAAUAUUGCACAAUGGGCGAAAGCCUGAUGCAGCGACGCCGCGUGAGCGAAGAAGUAUUUCGGUAUGUAAAGCUCUAUCAGCAGGGAAGAUAAUGACGGUACCUGACUAAGAAGCACCGGCUAAAUACGUGCCAGCAGCCGCGGUAAUACGUAUGGUGCAAGCGUUAUCCGGAUUUACUGGGUGUAAAGGGAGCGCAGGCGGUGCGGCAAGUCUGAUGUGAAAGCCCGGGGCUCAACCCCGGUACUGCAUUGGAAACUGUCGUACUAGAGUGUCGGAGGGGUAAGCGGAAUUCCUAGUGUAGCGGUGAAAUGCGUAGAUAUUAGGAGGAACACCAGUGGCGAAGGCGGCUUACUGGACGAUAACUGACGCUGAGGCUCGAAAGCGUGGGGAGCAAACAGGAUUA
rnacentral:rRNA from 1 species